UGCUCAGAACGAACGCUGGCGGCGUGCUUAACACAUGCAAGUCGAACGCGAAAGUUUUCUUCGGGAAACGAGUAGAGUGGCGCACGGGUGAGUAACGCGUAGAUAACCUGUCUUCAUGUUUGGGAUAACCCACCGAAAGGUGGACUAAUACCGGAUGGUUAGCGGGUCUGAGAGGAUGAUCCGUCACACUGGCACUGAAACACGGGCCAGACUCCUACGGGAGGCAGCAGUGAGGAAUAUUGCGCAAUGGGGGGAACCCUGACGCAGCGACGCCGCGUGAGUGAGGAAGGCCUUCGGGUCGUAAAGCUCUGUCAAGAGGGAAGAAAUGCAUAGAAGUUAAUACCUUUUAUGUUUGACGGUACCUCUAAAGGAAGCACCGGCUAACUCCGUGCCAGCAGCCGCGGUAAUACGGAGGGUGCGAGCGUUGUUCGGAAUUACUGGGCGUAAAGGGCGCGCAGGCGGCUUGGUAAGUCAGAUGUGAAAGCCCACGGCUCAACCGUGGAAGUGCAUUUGAAACUGCCAGACUUGAGUAUCAGAGGGGAAAGUGGAAUUCCUGGUGUAGAGGUGAAAUUCGUAGAUAUCAGGAGGAAUACCGGUGGCGAAGGCGACUUUCUGGCUGAAUACUGACGCUGAGGCGCGAAAGCGUGGGGAGCAAACAGGAUUAGAUACCCUGGUAGUCCACGCCGUAAACGAU
rnacentral:rRNA from 1 species